rnacentral:rRNA from 1 species
AGUCGAACGAUGACGCCGGAGCUUGCUCUGGCAGAUUAGUGGCGAACGGGUGAGUAACACGUGAGUAACCUGCCCUUGACUCUGGGAUAAGCGUUGGAAACGACGUCUAAUACCGGAUACGAGCUGGAAUCGCAUGAUUACCAGCUGGAAAGAAUUUCGGUCAAGGAUGGACUCGCGGCCUAUCAGGUAGUUGGUGAGGUAAAGGCUCACCAAGCCGACGACGGGUAGCCGGCCUGAGAGGGUGACCGGCCACACUGGGACUGAGACACGGCCCAGACUCCUACGGGAGGCAGCAGUGGGGAAUAUUGCACAAUGGGCGAAAGCCUGAUGCAGCAACGCCGCGUGAGGGACGACGGCCUUCGGGUUGUAAACCUCUUUUAGCAGGGAAGAAGCGAAAGUGACGGUACCUGCAGAAAAAGCACCGGCUAACUACGUGCCAGCAGCCGCGGUAAUACGUAGGGUGCAAGCGUUGUCCGGAAUUAUUGGGCGUAAAGAGCUCGUAGGCGGUUUGUCGCGUCUGCUGUGAAAACCCGAGGCUCAACCUCGGGCCUGCAGUGGGUACGGGCAGACUAGAGUGCGGUAGGGGAGAUUGGAAUUCCUGGUGUAGCGGUGGAAUGCGCAGAUAUCAGGAGGAACACCAAUGGCGAAGGCAGAUCUCUGGGCCGUAACUGACGCUGAGGAGCGAAAGCAUGGGGAGCGAACAGGAUUAGAUACCCUGGUAGUCCAUGCCGUAAACGUUGGGAACUAGAUGUGGGGACCAUUCCACGGUCUCCGUGUCGCAGCUAACGCAUUAAGUUCCCCGCCUGGGGAGUACGGUCGCAAGACUAAA